rnacentral:tRNA from 2 species
UUACUAAGCGGUGUUUGGCACAAAGGGUUUUGAUUCCUUAAGAAAGACUAUUUCUUCUAGUAAA